GCUCACCAUGUGCACUCUGCACUUGUCAGUCGCACUCCGAGAAACGGUGCAGACCACUCGGAGUUGCACAUCACAGUGACUGCACACUUUUUGUGCUGCAAAUACUACACUCCGGUUGUGUUUUUUUUUUCUUGUGGAGGUUUGUGCAAUCUGAAGGUUGGACUUGAGCUCGUUCAUUUUUUUUGGAGGGGGGGGGCUUUAGUGAGGAAGAGGAGGAGUAGAGUGAGCCUGAUGUGCAAGAGAAUGAUGUCGACAUCAACUGAAAAGUUGCCAUCUGAGUGCAAAAGCCCAGCAAGGGCGAGGAUGAGGGGCUUGUCCAUCGGCCUGCAGAUGGAAACAAGUGGGUGGUUGCAAGGCUGGAUGACUGAACUCAGAGACGACCCCCCCGGUGCAGCUCAUCAUCAUCAUCGCCGUGGGCUCUUGUCUUCCUCCUCCUGUGGCCCACACCUCCAUCCAGGGGUCCAAGCUCAGCACCGUGAACGCCUGAGCAGGAAGCUACAGUGAGUGGGCAGAGGAAGGAUGGGAAAGCUCCCUGAAGGCGAGAAGCACCUCUGCAUGCAGGAGAAAUCAAUACCAAGCAUGCUCGCCUUGGAGUGGGGCUUUCCUCUGGUUCUCUGCGGCCUCGGGGCUCGCAGGCCUCUAAAGGACGGGCCCUCUCAACUGGACCGGACCCCCUUCUCCACUUGUGUGGUUUUGCUGAAGGGGGUCCCCCAUCACCUCCCACCUCAAUACCCUGAAAGCUGAGACACAGCCAAGAGGGAUACUUCUUUUUCUUCAUCUUUUUUUCCAGAUUGACAUAUUCCCUGCCUUCUUUCAAUAGGACUUUUGACUUGUUUCGACAGUGCAACCUUUAGUUUUCCCUCCAUUCUUGCUUUGCUGUUGCUCAGGCGAGCUGAACAAAUGUCUGUGCAAACCAGAAACUCUUUCUGUUCCCCCUCAUCCCAGAGAAAUGGACAGAACGGCGAAGAAAGCAAGCUUCUUCGCUAUCUAAUGAUUGGGGACUCCUGGUUGGAAUGGACCCGUCGUCAUUAAUACAUUUCACUACUGAUUGUCUUCAAGAAACUGAUGUGAAGUUUUUGUGACUAAUAGCCAAUGUCGUUAAUUUCCACAUGAAGACUAGAAAUAAUAUUUUUCCACCAAUCAUACCAUGAGAUGUGGUGUGAUUGCAUAAAAUCUUUUAAUUGUCAACAUUGUGGGGUUUUCUCUUGUAUUGAUUAAUACACAUAGUAAUGCUUCAUUUUGUGCUGAUGUAUGUUUUUACAGCCUCUGUAAAUACAUGUACAUGUACAAUAAAGAUGACCGCUGACGUUAA